UACGUAGGGUGCAAGCGUUGUCCGGAAUUAUUGGGCGUAAAGAGCUCGUAGGCGGUUUGUCGCGUCUGCUGUGAAAACUGGAGGCUCAACCUCCAGCCUGCAGUGGGUACGGGCAGACUAGAGUGCGGUAGGGGGAGAUUGGAAUUCCUGGUGUAGCGGUGGAAUGCGCAGAUAUCAGGAGGAACACCGAUGGCGAAGGCAGAUCUCUGGGCCGUAACUGACGCUGAGGAGCGAAAGCGUGGGGAGCGAACAGG
rnacentral:rRNA from 1 species